GAUGAACGCUGGCGGCGUGCCUAAUACAUGCAAGUCGAGCGAAUGGAUUAAGAGCUUGCUCUUAUGAAGUUAGCGGCGGACGGGUGAGUAACACGUGGGUAACCUGCCCAUAAGACUGGGAUAACUCCGGGAAACCGGGGCUAAUACCGGAUAACAUUUUGAACCGCAUGGUUCGAAAUUGAAAGGCGGCUUCGGCUGUCACUUAUGGAUGGACCCGCGUCGCAUUAGCUAGUUGGUGAGGUAACGGCUCACCAAGGCAACGAUGCGUAGCCGACCUGAGAGGGUGAUCGGCCACACUGGGACGGAGACACGGCCCAGACUCCUGCGGGAGGCAGAAGUAGGGAAUCUUCCGCAAUGGACGAAAGUCUGACGGAGCAACGCCGCGUGAGUGAUGAAGGCUUUCGGGUCGUAAAACUCUGUUGUUAGGGAAGAACAAGUGCUAGUUGAACAAGCUGGCACCUUGACGGUACCUAACCAGAAAGCCACGGCUAACUACGUGCCAGCCGCCGCGGUAA
rnacentral:rRNA from 1 species